rnacentral:snoRNA from 1 species
AUGAAACAUGACUGCAUGACCAGAGCGUGAUUAACAGCCAGUUUGGUCGGUUGACCCUUAAAGCUGUAGAGGAUCGUUCUCAGCCGGAUUCUCUGGCUGGGGUGGUCUUGCAGUUGUCUGA